AUUGAACGCUGGCGGCAGGCUUAACACAUGCAAGUCGAGCGAGCGGCGGACGGGUGAGUAAUGUCUGGGAAACUGCCUGAUGGAGGGGGAUAACUACUGGAAACGGUAGCUAAUACCGCAUACCAUCAGAUGUGCCCAGAUGGGAUUAGCUAGUAGGUGGGGUAAGGGCUCACCUAGGCGACGAUCCCUAGCUGGUCUGAGUGGAUGACGAGCCACACGGGAAUCGAGACACGGUCCAAACUCCUACGGGAGGCGGCAGGGGGGAAGAUUGCACAAUGGGCGCAAGCCUGAUGCAGCCAUGCCGCGUGUGUGAAGAAGGCCUUCGGGUUGUAAAGCACUUUCAGCGAGGAGGCGUUACUCGCAGAAGAAGCACCUGCUAACUCCGUGUCAGCAGCCGCGGUAAUAC
rnacentral:rRNA from 1 species